GGUUUGGCUGAUGGAUGCUAGGCAAAUGUUCUCUUCCUCCCUCUACACUCUGCACACGUCCCUCCUGAAGCUGGACGCUCAGAAGACUACUUGCCCCAAACACAGCAGGGCCAGCACCCAGUCAAGGGCACACAAGUGGCUGCUCUCCCGAUAGAACCGCCAAACGGUUCUCAAAGAGGGGCGGGCACACUAAGUACAGAUCAUGUCGAUCCAUUCAUUUUGUUUAAAUGUUGGGUCGUCCGU
rnacentral:snRNA from 1 species